rnacentral:tRNA from 1 species
ACGGUAGAGUACUCGGCUUUAAGUGCG